ACUCCUACGGGAGGCAGCAGUGGGGAAUAUUGCACAAUGGGCGCAAGCCUGAUGCAGCCAUGCCGCGUGUAUGAAGAAGGCCUUCGGGUUGUAAAGUACUUUCAGCGGGGAGGAAGGCGAUAAGGUUAAUAACCUUGUCGAUUGACGUUACCCGCAGAAGAAGCACCGGCUAACUCCGUGCCAGCAGCCGCGGUAAUACGGAGGGUGCAAGCGUUAAUCGGAAUUACUGGGCGUAAAGCGCACGCAGGCGGUCUGUCAAGUCGGAUGUGAAAUCCCCGGGCUCAACCUGUGAACUGCAUUCGAAACUGGCAGGCUAGAGUCUUGUAGAGGGGGGUAGAAUUCCAGGUGUAGCGGUGAAAUGCGUAGAGAUCUGGAGGAAUAUCGGUGGCGAAGGCGGCCCCCUGGACAAAGACUGACGCUCAGGUGCGAAAGCGUGGGGAGCAAACAGGAUUAGAAACCCGGGUAGUCC
rnacentral:rRNA from 1 species